rnacentral:rRNA from 1 species
GACGAACGCUGGCGGCGUGCUUAACACAUGCAAGUCGAACGAAAAGAGGGAAAGAGCUUGCUCUUUCCGGAAUUGAGUGGCAAACGGGUGAGUAACACGUAAACAACCUGCCUUCAGGAUGGGGACAACAGACGGAAACGACUGCUAAUACCGAAUAAGUUCCAAGGACCGCAUGGCCCAUGGAAGAAAAGGUGGCCUCUACCUGUAAGCUAUCGCCUGAAGAGGGGUUUGCGUCUGAUUAGCUGGUUGGAGGGGUAACGGCCCACCAAGGCGACGAUCAGUAGCCGGUCUGAGAGGAUGAACGGCCACACUGGAAUUGAGACACGGUCCAGACUCCUACGGGAGGCAGCAGUGGGGAAUCUUCCGCAAUGGGCGAAAGCCUGACGGAGCAACGCCGCGUGAGUGAUGACGGCCUUCGGGUUGUAAAACUCUGUGAUCCGGGACGAAAAGGCAGAGUGCGAAGAACAAACUGCAUUGACGGUACCGGAAAAGCAAGCCACGGCUAACUACGUG